UUACGCGGGUGCAGAGGGCAGUGGGACCGAGCGUGGUUUUGCCGGCAGGGAGAGGAGAACACGCGCGCGCACACACGCGGCGGUGUCUUGCGGGUGAUGAAUGUGAUAAUUGGACCGGGGCCGACCUUUCCUACAGAAGCUGCCCAUCAGACCAAUGAAACCACGGGACACAAAGUUCUAUUCAAGAAGAGAACAACAAGAAAGAAAAAAAGGUCAACAAUCCUAGGACAGAAGAGCUCCUUGGCACUGGAACCCUCCUGGUCUGGUGAGGGAGGGAUGAGGGAUGUUCUGAGGACACACAGCCAUCAUCCAAAACUUCCUACAUUCGGAUGGAGGAAAGAGGUUGCACCAGAGCUUCGGAUCCACGUUGCCUAAGGGAUGAUUCAGACUGUGUGAACGAGUCACAGAAGGGAAUAUAGAAGACACUGAAAAGCCGGAUUUUGCUCCCGGUGAGCUUCCAUUCCUUUUGGCAGUUUGAUCAUGAACAGGCGGAGCGACUUGGGACAGUUACAACGCAACAUGUGGAACCCAGAAAACGCAGGAGGAACUAGACACGUGGUAUCUUUCCAUUUCCCUCUUGAAAAUUACCUUUUGGAGAGAGAUAAGUGACUAUUUGCCUCAGUUUUCUUCUCUCUCAUGUCAUUAAAGGAAGGUGAUCUAGGUUUGUUAAGUAAAAGGAGAUUUCAGGACAGGAAUGUUGACAGAAGAAUUGGUGGUGUUCAGCAAUCCUCAGGUCUUAUCGUUUUUGGCAUAGUUCACGUCCAUUUCGUGGUAACAGCUCCGAGGGGCUGGGGGAGGGGGCUCGUGAUGACACAAGAGAUCCCUUGACAUUUCAGAAACAAAGGUCAAAGCCUGAAAAGGUCCCAGAGCAGGCAGAAUUCCUGCACGCGCUUGUCAAGUUCCCUGCCAUGAAGCUGGUAUCAUAUUGUGCUUUCUUAUGUCUGUGCAUCUAUGUUUUCUCACGUAGCAUGAAAGACAUUAUAGGGGAUAUUUUAAGUAAAACAGCAACAAUAAAAAUAACACACACUUUGCCUUAAUUACAUAGGUGUUUCGAGCAAAACUGAAUUUGGCUUAGUUGUCAUAUGACAAGACUCCUCCAUUAACUUUAACUUUGUAAUUCAUACUUCAUGAGCAUGGAUACUUUUCUCACACUAGUGAAUCUUGUGUCCCCUGGGUAUCAUUUGCUAAGUUAAACUUCUUUCCAUUUCUCAUGCCAAUUUAUUUAUCUGUAUGAAAUGCCUGUCCCUCCUU